UCUCUGGUGGUCCAGUGGUUAGGACGUUGCACUUUCACUGCCUGGGACCCGGGUUCAAUUCCUGGUCAGGGAA